rnacentral:rRNA from 1 species
AUGUUAUCAUCUGUGGAACUUACAAGAUAUGCUCAUAGCAAACUGGAUUUUGUGCUAUUUUACACUUACAUACUCGGAAUGCUUUUACUUGCUGAUGCAUCAAGAGGUUCUACUUUAUUUGAGGGCCUUGGGAAGCGGCAGAGGGCUUCACAUCUUUUGUUCAAAAUAUGCUAUUAUUUGCAACUGUACGUCCUUUGUUACUUGCAUGUUCUGUUUCUAUGCUCAGCGUUCCCGUUUAGUCCUUCCUGUACUUUAUUUCGCGCAUGGUUUUCUUCCUUUUCGUACCUUUUUAUAUUGUAUAAAUUGUGCUACGUUGCUCUUUUUCAUUCAUGCAUCUGCUGCACUAUGGUCUAUGGCACCUCAAGCGUCAACCAAAAGAUAUUACAUUUGGUCUUCGAUGUCAUUAUAUAUUUCUAG